CUCUCUGAGUACAUAAUGAUAUUCAUUACUUAUGUUCUCUAAUUGUUCAGGGAACUCUGUAGUGAGAUUAAAUUACUCCAACUUCUGUAUCAUCUAAAGGGGUUCAAGUGAAUCCAUACUUUUAUUUUCUCCUUGUUUCAAUAGCUGCUUUUUCCUUUUGAAACCACCACCUAUGCAGAAAAUGUUCAAUCCUGUAGCAUUAGUUAUAGAAUAGCUAUGGAACUGUGAGGCAGCAACAGAGAUCAACUUCCCAGUGGGGGUGGGGAGGAAAAGAGAGUUGCCCAUUUAAAAGGGUUUUCAUGCAGCUGCUUUGAAUUUAAUGAUUAUCAACUGCUUCUUUGAGUACAUUGUUAUUAACCUGGGAUAUAUGUUCAUAACUAGAAUGUUCUGUAGUAUCAGUGGUGUUCUGGAUACAUAUUAGUGUCAAUGCUUCUGGCUAUGUGUUUACUGUGUGUUCAUACUGUACAUAAUUGGGAUUUUAAAUAGUAUUAGUAUGAAUGAUGCUAUGUUUAAUUAGAUAAUAAUGACAUCAGCUGAGGAGGCUGUGAGUUAGGAGCAUAAUAAGGAUCCUGUUCAAAAUAUAGUUUAUAAUCUGAACUAAAUAACUACCUUUGCUAUAAAACAAGUAUGGGUAAAAAAGUAAAUUUUUUUUUUUAUACAGUGUCAGUGAGCAGCGUUCCAAUGCUAACCCCUUCAUGCCGAGAGCAAAUGUUUAAAUGUAGCUCUUUCUUGUGGAUGAUAGAGACAUGGCUUUAGGUUUUAAGAAGUAUAGAUAUGGAGGUUCAGCCUUGUAUCUGCAGAGCUGUUAGUUGACAAUGUAUUGGGGAAUGAGGACAGAGAGUAAGUAGAUGGUUUUUUUUUUUUUUUUUGUAUUAAGCGGCAGACUGACCUACCAGGCAAUUAAUCACAGACUGUGGGCCAGCGGUUGGUGGGAGGAGCCUGCCCAAACCGCUUGAGAUGAAAUAGAAAUUUGCCUUUCUGGUUCACAUUGAUCUGACAGUUACCAUUCAAACAUGGUUGCUUUUAGAUGUCAAUGCAGAUGUGCUGCUAUUGCGUGCAUGCAUAUUGGCAGUGUUUACUGGCAGCAUUCAUCUUUGAGACAAGCCUGGGCCCUUAACUUUUUUAUUUUGACUGGGAGCCACGGAUUGUAUUAUUAAAGGAACAUGAAACCCCAGAUUUUUUUUAAAUAAUUCAGAUUUAGCAUAUCAUUUUAAACACAUUUUUUAUUUACUUCUAUUAUGAACUUUGAUUCAUUCUCUUGGUAUCCUUUUGUUGUAAGAAGCAGCAAUGCACUACUGGGAGUUAGCUGAACAGGAAAGAAGGGAACAAGGGUUGCUUCUCACUUGCCCCUGACUAGAGUGUAACAUCUCAGCCCCUGCUCUCCACUUGCACGACCUCUCCCUGCAGGGUGGCAGCAAUGAAACUCUAGCGGUCCUGUCUCUACCUGUCCAGCACCCACAGCGUCUUCAUGAUGCCAGUCUCUGGAUCUACCUGAAUGUCCAGAAGAACCGGGGACUCGCCCACCAUCCUCCGACAAAAAUAAUCCUCCCCCCCCAGAUUAUAGAGCAGCAGCAAAACUGCAUAGGGCAUAAGAGCUUUCACAGUCAUCAUCGGCAACUUAUUCCUGCACCCCAGCACAUGCAGGUAUCUGCUGAACACACCUCUCUUCCAGCUGAUCCCUAUCUACGCAGACACCUGCAGGAUCGCAUAUGUACAGAUGCCUCCUGCACUAUACAGGUGAUGUGAUGUUCUGAACCUUAAGCUGUGGGUGCUUGGCAGGGAGAGAUGGAAGUAUUACAGCCAGGGAGAGGUUGUGUAAGUGGAGAUCAUCCCCAGACCUGUUCAGCACUGCAGCGUAAGGUUAAGGACAUCACUGGAUGCCAUCACCAUAUCAUGUGUAUACUGUAGGAGGUAUCUGUACAUAUGCGAUCCUGCAGGUACCUGCUUAGACAGGGAUUGGCUAGAAAGGAGGCGUGUUCAGCAUCUACUUGUUUACAAAAAGGGUGCUUGAUUCAUGGAAUAAACUGCCACAAGAGGUGGCAAUGACAAACACUGAGGGGGACUUCAAAAAUGCCUGGGAUAAGCAUAAGGUUAUCCUAUGAACUAGAUAAGUUUAUACUUUUAGGAAAUAUUGAGCAGACUUGUUGGGCCUAUGGUUCUUACCUGCUUUCAACAUCUAUAUUUUUUUGUUUAAUUUAUCUGUUGAGCCAAUGACAUGAGACAUACAUUCAGCUAGCUCACAGUUGUGUAUCAAUGCUCCUGAGUCUACCCAGGUAUAUACUGUAUGCUUUUCAAGAAAGGGUUCAAAGAAAACAAAGCAGUUUUGAUACUAGAUGUAAAUGGAAAAGUUGUUUAAAAUUUGUAAUUUCUAUCUGAACCAUGAAAGUUUAAUUUUGAUUCUAUUGUCCAUUUAAUGCGGGAUGACAAUAUUCAGUAAUUAAGGUUGUCAAGAUUUGGUUAUAGAGGAGAUGCGAAAUUUGGAAAUAAAGAUAAUUCCAUUGAAGUGGGCUUGGUUACUAAAUGUAAUUGUGGCGUGAAAUUUAAGUUGUCUAAUAAAGUAUAUGGCUGUGUGUGUA